rnacentral:lncRNA from 1 species
UGGCACGUUUGUCAGCCCCGACUCAGGGCUCGCCUCUGUAACCCUGACAGUGCUGCUCUCUGGGGCUGCUGUAGGGGAAAUGUCAUCGGGAGAGGUCUCUCCUGAAGCUGACUCGGGAGACAGAACUAAUUUCUCUGAAACGCCCGGGGACAGUGGACCUUGAGGACGGGGAGUAGACAAGGGGACGGCUCUAUUAGCCUCUGCUUCUUUACUUGGGAGUUCAGGAUAGGAUUCGGACAGAAAAAUGGGACUGUUGUCAGCGACCUUGGCUGCUGGGGUCAGGCUUGUCCUUUCAGUCCCGGGAGCAGUCGAAGUCAUCUCCUCUGCCACGGGAGGGGCCCUUGGUGCCUGUUGCCAAUCGGGGAUUAUGCCUUCUAACUUAGACAUGGUGAGAACCACGUCUUUGUCUGUGUCGGGGCCCCCUGGGAUGACUGCGCUUUCUCUGGCUGUGGGCAUGGAGCCACUGAUGGUGGAAACGGCUAUUCGGGUCGGUACUGAGAAAAAAUCUGUCUCUGAUCCCAGCCUGGCCUCGGAUGCGUUACUGGAGGUAUGGGAGAGAGUUGAGUCGAGAAUCGAGUCUGUGCUGAAGCCUUUAGGAGGACUUGUCUUGAAGCUAAGGCUGUAGUCAGUAGAGUUGGAAGUCCCUGAGGAAAUGGUGCUGGCCUCUAUGUCCGGAGUACUGUCCACUGUGCUGGACCUAUCAGCCAGGACGGUGGUGGAGAACCAGCUAGGGCUCAUCCACGGGAUCUCGGUGUUGAUAAAAGUCGAGCUGGUGUCAAUGGAUCCCGCUGACCUAGACCUUCCGUUGGGGGUGAUGGGAACAGUGGGUGGAGUGGUCUCUUCACUCGUGUCAGCACCAGAAAGGCUGCUCCCUGAGCCAGAGGGAAACUCCACCACCAAAGCCCUUUCUUCUGUUGGACAACAGAACACUCACCACAGAUCCGGUCAUUACAGUCACCAGUUCCUGCCGACAGUAAGAAAAAGGUAAUUUUGCCCCAAGCCCACCUUCCCACUUAGUGUGCAGGGAGACCUGAGGGGCUACAUGGGUCCAGCAGACGUAUCCCCAAACACGGACCCUCUGUAGAACAAGCCAAG